AAGCAUAAAAUUGGCCUGACCCAUCUCGAAGUCUCUCCUCGCUCCCGUUGCUCUUCUUCAUCUUGUUCGAAAUCUUCUUGUACAUUAUACAACGCCAAGGUUCAUCGAAAGAGAGCGAAACAUGGGAGAGAGGCAGUGAAAGGCGGAGGAGCGCCUCCGUGCCCCACUCUUGUUCGGUAUUCGCACUGAAUUCUAGGGUUUCGUCCUAUCCGGCGCGUGGUUCGAGACGGGUUGUUGUUUGCUAAUGAAUUAGGCAUUUUACUUCCCUUGUAUUUUAUCGUUGCGAGGUACAAUAAGGAGAGUCCAAGUGUGAUCUUAGCAAAGGAUGAAAGUCCAAGGGUGAGUCUUGGUAAUGUAAGUCCAAGCAUGUAGUCUUGACAACGUAAGUCCAAGUGUGACUUGACAACAGAUGAAGUUCCAGAUGCUUGGUCUCUUGGUAAAGGAAGAUCCGACAACAAUGAUAAGGCCAAUGGAAACUCUAGAAGGCAAGACAUAAAGGAUGGGGAGACAUCCAAAGAACGCGAGGCUGAUGGAGGAUGAUAGAAGAUUAGGUCUAUGUUGUGCAGGCAAGGACGAGUGCAUGAGAGAUUGUACCUAGGGUAAAUUUUUAAAUCAUUGUAACGAUAUUGUAACAUUACUGUAGCGUUAUUGUAACAAUCUACUGGUAGCCACCGUUGGCUUGUAACAGUCAAAUUUCACU